GAAAAUCCUUGUGUCGCGAUCGCUUCCGUUGCCUUGUCUCGAAAUCUGCAUAAAUACAAAGAUGUAUGUAGCUGUGACUAUAGCUUCGCCGCCGUUGUGCAAAUAUUAAUAUUUUGAGCUAAAACACAUACUUUUGUGAGCUGCAUAAAUAAGCAAGUGCACAUAUGUACAUACAUAUGUAUAGCCGUAUCGCCAAAGUGUCUGAAUAAUCGGUGCGAACGUGGGAAUCGCGCUGGCGUUGCAAGUUCGCGGUGCAGUUGUUGCUGCUGUAACGUCAAUGUGGAGUGUCAAUUAUGUGGAAAUAUAUUUACAAAGAUGCCCCCUGUUUGUGUGUGUGAGUGAUUCUCCUGGCACUGAAUGUCACUAAAAUAGGGUGGGAGUGGAAGUGGAAGUGGGGCUGCCCUCUUUCCAGUGCGUGUAGAUCAGUUACCGCCAGCAACAACAACCCCAACAACAACAAGAACAAGAACAGCAGCAAUAACAAACAAACAAACAAACAAGCCAGCGACAAUUCACAUUCAUUCCCAUUCAUUGCUGCGAUUAUCGCCAGUUUUGCUUUGCUCUUUCACCACGCACGAAUACGAUUACGAAUACGAAUACGAAUACGAACGUAGGAGAAUGUGCGGGGGCUGCGGAGGCCGAAGCGAAUGAAGAGGAAGCGGCAACAGUCGAUAAGUUCGCUCUGGGCACGCCCCCUUAUGACGCCCCCUGUGACGCGUUAUCAGCGGACACCCAAGAAACACAACAAACACAAAGACCUGACCAAAAUCCACACAAAAUGGCGAUAAACUCGAGUGCCAGAGAACCGCCGCGGGCCUAAAAAGUUCGUUCCCCAAAAUAAAAAGGAGGUAAACAAACUCGUUUCUGCCCCACAACAACACAACCCAUGCCCGCCGAAAACCGAGAGAUCCCGCACCACAGAGCCCACCACAACCGGCGAUAAGCAUCCGAAGACGAAGAUUUGGGUGGCCAGUCCACAGAAAACCCCGCACCAACCCCGAAACAAGCGCCUAAGAUGUGUUCCCGCAACAUAAAGAUCUCGGUGGUGCUGUUUCUCGUCCUGAUACCAAUCUUCGCCGCCUUGCCACACAACCACAAUCUGUCGAAGCGCAGCAACUUCUUCGACCUGGAGUGCAAGGGCAUCUUCAACAAGACCAUGUUCUUCCGACUGGACCGCAUCUGCGAGGACUGCUACCAGUUGUUCCGCGAGACGAGUAUACACCGAUUAUGCAUGAAAGACUGCUUUGAUUCAAACUGGUUUGGCGAAUGCCUGAAAGUGCUGUUAAUACCCGAAGAGGAAAUAUCCAACCUACAGCACUUUCUGAGAGUAGUGAACGGCUCGCCCAUAUCCUUCAACAUGGGGCCGCAAACAUAACUCUAAGUCCCCGCCCCACACACCCACACACCCACAGCCCCAACACACCAUACACCACACACCAUACAGCACACAACACACACCACACACCACAGACAGCUGAGAAUCGCUGCGAAUAUCGUGGGUUGGAACGGUCAUCCGCAUCCAGAUACAGAUCCAGAUCCAGAAACAGUCCCACUACGACCACAAAUGCAGAGCCAGAACACAGAAAUCUAAAAUAUUACAACGCCCAAAUUUAAUUCGUACUUAUUUAUUACUGUAUGCCUUACAGUUUUUACUAUAUGUGUUUUUUAAAAACGAAUUAUUUUUAUUAAUUUAUUGAGAACGUUAUGCGUUUGUUGUAAGUAACGUAAUCGGGGAGUGGGAGAUGAUGAUCAGAUGAUCAGGUGAUGAUGAUGCGGAGGAGGAGGAUCGCAGAUCUCGCACUCCCCACAUAUACAUAGAAGCCGAAGUAUUUAUUUUUAAGUAUUCUUAGCCUGUUUUAUUAUUAUUGCGUUAUGCGGUUUGUAUAUAAAAUAAACAAAACGAAAUACAUUGUUUUUAAUCUAUGUAAUGUAAAAUUAUAACUUUUAUUUUUGUAUCUGUAUUCUACUGUAAAAUCAGCAUUUAGAGUUUACAUUUUACACGAUUUUCCGCAAGGGCAAAACUACAAUGAUAAAGAUAAACCCAUACAAGCACACAUACACACACUACACACACGCAUAUAUAUAUACACCGCAAUCGAGACCGAAAGUAUUUUGCAAAUGUAUUACACUUACAAUUUUGUGCUAUUUUUUAAAGAUGAAACCCUGAAUUAGUGUAAGUCUGUUGGCGCAAAACGUAGAUAUGUAUUUGCCUAUAUAGUAUAUAGUAUAUGCAUACCUAUCUAAAGCUAAAGCCUUACAUGUAUCCGAAUACGAGUACCCUACACACAUGCUAAAUAUUAGAGAGAAACGCAAGAUCGCAAUUUGUGCAAGACACAAACAAAAACCUGGUAAAAACACGCGAAGAACGGAACGACUGCAUUACAAAUGUGGCAAUAAAUAAUACAUAAUUAAAAACCCCUGUAAAUUAAUAAAGGAUAAUCAAUCAUUCGCUGGCUAUUUGAGAGCAUCAAAAUUGUGAUAAAUGAGAAUUAGAAUGCGAAUGCGCGACGCAGGACACCGCCAGAGAAAGAGACCGCCAUAGAGGAGGCGAGAGAGACAGACAGACUGCAGCUGGCGAUUUGCGCGCGUUUCUGGCGCGACUAAAAACGCCCGCUUACCGUUUUUGUUUUGGCAAGAAUGCUUCGGAUCGCCCUUCUUCAACGCCUGCAUAGAGGCUCUUCAGCUGCACGAGGAGAUGGACAAGUAUAACGAAUGGCGCGAUACCCUGGGUCGCAAGUAAAGUGCGAUUCUCUGGGAUUUUCUGGCACCGUCACUGGCACGAGCAGCUACUUAAUUCUAUAAACUAUUAACUAAAACUAUUAUUAUUGAUAACUGUGGCAGAACACGGCACGAAACUAUGGCAACCAGGAAACGAUCGACCCGAGGAAUGUGUACCACUUAAAGAAACAACUAAGCUAACAUCUAGCUACAAGAGAAAGCAGAUCAAAAAUGUUGAAAAAAAAUUAUGAAAACAAUUACUAAACUAUUACACGCUACUUAUCCGCACUUAUAUCGGAAAGUUUAAAUUGGUCUAUAUAUUAUUUCUAUCAUCUGUCAUGAAACAGUCUCGUGGAGCUUUAGUUGUAGUGAAUUACGUGAAUUAUGCUUAUUUCUUUUAGUUCUUCGCGCAGAAGGAAAGCAAAAGGUUAUGCCAAGAAACAAAUAUGAGAACAAACAAACAAGCAAACAAACAAACGAACAAGAAUCAAAAUGUCUGAUGUAUAUAACUAUUUUUGUCUUCUUUUAAAGAUUUCUAUACAUAUUUAUAACGCCUAACUGAUUUGUACAUUUCUUUUAUUUCGUAAGCUUAAGUUAAUUUGUUACGGCAAUAAAUUUUACGUUCCACACCUUCCCACAUAUGCACUCCUGCAAUAGAACGGAAAUCACAUCUGAGCAACCCCACACGGCAUAAUUCGAUUCGAUUCUAUGUAGUAUUGCAAUGCCCUACGAUUACAUAACUAUUAAUUAAUUUAAACUUGUUUGGAUCUAGUCGUAAAAUAUAAAUAAAGAUUGUAUAUUUCAAGAGGA